rnacentral:rRNA from 1 species
GACGAACGCUGGCGGCGUGCUUAACACAUGCAAGUCGAACGGUGAAGCGCCUUCCUUUUUGGUGGGUGUGGAUGAGUGGCGAACGGGUGAGUAACACGUGAGUAACCUGCCCCCUUCUUCUGGAUAACCGCAUGAAAGUGUUGCUAAUACGGGAUAUUCUGGUUCUGUCGCAUGAUGGGUCUGGGAAAGAUAUUGUUUCGGUGGGGGAUGGGCUCGCGGCCUAUCAGCUUGUUGGUGGGGUGAUGGCCUACCAAGGCGGUGACGGGUAGCCGGCCUGAGAGGGUGGACGGUCACACUGGGACUGAGACACGGCCCAGACUCCUACGGGAGGCAGCAGUGGGGAAUAUUGCACAAUGGGCGCAAGCAUGAUGCAGCGACGCCGCGUGAGGGAUGGAGGCCUUCGGGUUGUGAACCUCUUUCGCCAGUGAAGCAGGCCUGCCUCGUUUGUGGGUGGGUUGACGGUAGCUGGAUAAGAAGCGCCGGCUAACUACGUG